AACGCUAGCUACAGGCUUAACACAUGCAAGUCGAGGGGAAACGACAUCGAAAGCUUGCUUUUGAUGGGCGUCGACCGGCGCACGGGUGAGUAACGCGUAUCCAACCUGCCCAUCACUUGGGGAUAACCUUGCGAAAGUAAGACUAAUACCCAAUGACGUCUCUAGAAGACAUCUGAAAGAGAUUAAAGAUUUAUCGGUGAUGGAUGGGGAUGCGUCUGAUUAGCUUGUUGGCGGGGUAACGGCCCACCAAGGCUACGAUCAGUAGGGGUUCUGAGAGGAAGGUCCCCCACAUUGGAACUGAGAUACGGUCCAAACUCCUACGGGAGGCAGCAGUGAGGAAUAUUGGUCAAUGGCCGUAAGGCUGAACCAGCCAAGUAGCGUGAAGGAUGACCGCCCUACGGGUCGUAAACUUCUUUUAUAAGGGAAUAACACCUCCCACGUGUGGGAGGCUGCAUGUACCUUAUGAAUAAGCAUCGGCUAACUCCGUGCCAGCAGCCGCGGUAAUACGGAGGAUGCGAGCGUUAUCCGGAUUUAUUGGGUUUAAAGGGAGCGCAGACGGGCGAUUAAGUCAGUUGUGAAAUGCCGCGGCUCAACCGUGGACUUGCAGUUGAUACUGGUUGCCUUGAGUGCGGUUGAGGCACGCGGAAUUCGUGGUGUAGCGGUGAAAUGCUUAGAUAUCACGAAGAACUCCGAUUG
rnacentral:rRNA from 1 species